UACGGGGGGGGCAAGCGUUGUUCGGAAUUACUGGGCGUAAAGGGCUCGUAGGUGGCCAACUCAGUCAGACGUGAAAUCCCUCGGCUUAACCGGGGAACUGCGUCUGAUACUGGUUGGCUUGAGGUUGGGAGAGGGAUGCGGAAUUCCAGGUGUAGCGGUGAAAUGCGCAGAUAUCAGGAGGAACACCGAUGGCGAAGGCAGCUCGCUGGGACGGUACUGACGCUGAGACGCGAAAGCGUGGGGAGCAAACAGG
rnacentral:rRNA from 1 species